rnacentral:rRNA from 1 species
GUUGUAUGGUUAAGUGACUAAGCGUACACGGUGGAUGCCUUGGCAGUCAGAGGCGAUGAAAGACGUAGUAACUUGCGAUAAGCCCAGAUUAGGUAGUAACAACCAUUUGAGUCUGGGAUUUCUGAAUGGGGAAACCCACUUACAUAAGUAAGUAUCAUUAACUGAAUACAUAGGUUAAUGAGGCGAACCGGGGGAACUGAAACAUCUAAGUACCCCGAGGAAAAGAAAUCAACCGAGAUUCCGAAAGUAGCGGCGAGCGAAAUUGGACUAGCCCUUAAGCUUUACACGCGUUAGACGAACGGUCUGGAAAGUCCGACGAUACAGGGUGAUAGUCCCGUAGUUGACGACGUGUGUUCAGUGAAAUCGAGUAGGGCGGGACACGUGAUAUCCUGUCUGAAUAUGGGGGGACCAUCCUCCAAGGCUAAAUACUACUGACUGACCGAUAGUGAACCAGUACCGUGAGGGAAAGGCGAAAAGAACCCCUGUGAGGGGAGUGAAAUAGAACCUGAAACCGUGUACGUACAAGCAGUAGGAGCAGGCUUUGUCCUGUGACUGCGUACCUUUUGUAUAAUGGGUCAGCGACUUAUAUUCAGUGGCAAGGUUAACCAUCUAGGGGAGCCGUAGGGAAACCGAGUCUUAACUGGGCGUUCAGUCUCUGGAUAUAGACCCGAAACCAGGUGAUCUAGCCAUGGGCAGGUUGAAGGUUGAGUAACAUCAACUGGAGGACCGAACCGACUAAUGUUGAAAAAUUAGCGGAUGACUUGUGGCUAGGGGUGAAAGGCCAAUCAAACCUGGAGAUAGCUGGUUCUCCCCGAAAGCUAUUUAGGUAGCGCCUCGGACGAAUACUACUGGGGGUAGAGCACUGUUAAGGCUAGGGGGUCAUCCCGACUUACCAACCCUUUGCAAACUCCGAAUACCAGUAAGUACUAUCCGGGAGACACACGGCGGGUGCUAACGUCCGUCGUGGAGAGGGAAACAACCCAGACCGCCAGCUAAGGUCCCAAAUUACUACUAAGUGGGAAACGAUGUGGGAAGGCUCAGACAGCCAGGAUGUUGGCUUAGAAGCAGCCAUCAUUUAAAGAAAGCGUAAUAGCUCACUGGUCGAGUCGGCCUGCGCGGAAGAUGUAACGGGGCUAAGUAGUAAACCGAAGCUGCGGCAAUAUACUUUUGUAUAUUGGGUAGGGGAGCGUUCUGUAAGCGGUUGAAGGUGUGUGGUAACGCAUGCUGGACGUAUCAGAAGUGCGAAUGCUGACAUGAGUAACGAUAAAGGGGGUGAAAAACCUCCUCGCCGGAAGACCAAGGGUUCCUGUCCAACGUUAAUCGGGGCAGGGUAAGUCGACCCCUAAGGCGAGGCCGAAAGGCGUAGUCGAUGGGAAACGGGUUAAUAUUCCCGUACUUCUUACAAUUGCGAUGGGGGGACGGAGAAGGCUAGGUGGGCCUGGCGACGGUUGUCCAGGUUCAAGUGCGUAGGCUGAGAGAUUAGGUAAAUCCGGUUUCUCUUAAGGCUGAGACACGACGUCGAGCACCUACGGGUGUGAAGUCAUUGAUGCCAUGCUUCCAGGAAAAGCCUCUAAGCUUCAGAUUGUAAGGAAUCGUACCCCAAACCGACACAGGUGGUCGGGUAGAGAAUACCAAGGCGCUUGAGAGAACUCGGGUGAAGGAACUAGGCAAAAUGGUACCGUAACUUCGGGAGAAGGUACGCUCUCGACGGUGAAGUCCCUUGCGGAUGGAGCUAUUGAGAGUCGCAGAUACCAGGUGGCUGCAACUGUUUAUUAAAAACACAGCACUGUGCAAAAUCGUAAGAUGACGUAUACGGUGUGACGCCUGCCCGGUGCCGGAAGGUUAAUUGAUGGGGUUAGACUUCGGUCGAAGCUCUUGAUCGAAGCCCCGGUAAACGGCGGCCGUAACUAUAACGGUCCUAAGGUAGCGAAAUUCCUUGUCGGGUAAGUUCCGACCUGCACGAAUGGCGUAAUGAUGGCCACGCUGUCUCCACCCGAGACUCAGUGAAAUUGAAAUCGCUGUGAAGAUGCAGUGUACCCGCGGCUAGACGGAAAGACCCCGUGAACCUUUACUACAGCUUGGCACUGAACAUUGACCCUACAUGUGUAGGAUAGGUGGGAGGCUUUGAAGCACGUACGCCAGUAUGUGUGGAGCCGUCCUUGAAAUACCACCCUUGUAGUGUUGAUGUUCUAACGUCGACCCCUUAUCGGGGUUGCGGACAGUGCCUGGUGGGUAGUUUGACUGGGGCGGUCUCCUCCCAAAGAGUAACGGAGGAGCACGAAGGUGGGCUAAUCACGGUUGGACAUCGUGAGGUUAGUGCAAUGGCAUAAGCCCGCUUGACUGCGAGAAUGACAAUUCGAGCAGGUGCGAAAGCAGGUCAUAGUGAUCCGGUGGUUCUGAAUGGAAGGGCCAUCGCUCAACGGAUAAAAGGUACUCCGGGGAUAACAGGCUGAUACCGCCCAAGAGUUCAUAUCGACGGCGGUGUUUGGCACCUCGAUGUCGGCUCAUCACAUCCUGGGGCUGAAGUCGGUCCCAAGGGUAUGGCUGUUCGCCAUUUAAAGUGGUACGCGAGCUGGGUUUAGAACGUCGUGAGACAGUUCGGUCCCUAUCUGCCGUGGGCGUUGGAAGAUUGAAGGGGGCUGCUCCUAGUACGAGAGGACCGGAGUGGACGAACCUCUGGUGUUCGGGUUGUGUCGCCAGACGCAUUGCCCGGUAGCUAAGUUCGGAAUCGAUAACCGCUGAAAGCAUCUAAGCGGGAAGCGAGCCCUGAGAUGAGUCUUCCCUGAUACUUUAAGUAUCCUAAAGGGUUGUCGGAGACUACGACGUUGAUAGGUCAGGUGUGUAAGUGCUGUGAGGCAUUGAGCUAACUGAUACUAAUUGCCCGUGAGGCUUAACCAUACAACACCCAAGGGGUUU